rnacentral:rRNA from 1 species
GGUUAAGCGAAUAAGCGUACACGGUGGAUGCCUAGGCAAUCAGAGGCGAUGAAGGACGUGCUAAUCUGCGAAAAGCGUCGGUAAGGUGAUAUGAACCGUUAUACCCGACGAUAUCCGAAUGGGGAAACCCAGUAUCCAAUGGAUACUAUCAUUAACUGAAUCCAUAGGUUAAUGAGGCGAACCGGGAGAACUGAAACAUCUCAGUACCCCGAGGAAAAGAAAUCAACCGAGAUUCCCCUAGUAGCGGCGAGCGAACGGGGAGCAGCCCAGAGUCUUAAUCAAUAGCAGUGUCAGGAGAACGGUCUGGAAAGUCCGGCAGUAAAGGGUGAUAGCCCCGUAUCUGAAGAUGCUGUUAUUGUGAACUCGACGAGUAGGGCGGGACACGUGUUAUCCUGUCUGAAUAUGGGGGGACCAUCCUCCAAGGCUAAAUACUCCUGAUUGACCGAUAGUGAACCAGUACCGUGAGGGAAAGGCGAAAAGAACCCCGGCGAGGGGAGUGAAAAAGAACCUGAAACCGUGUACGUACAAGCAGUAGGAGCCUCUUUAUGGGGUGACUGCGUACCUUUUGUAUAAUGGGUCAGCGACUUAUAUUCUGUAGCGAGGUUAACCGUAUAGGGGAGCCGUAGGGAAACCGAGUCUUAACUGGGCGAAUGAGUUGCAGGGUAUAGACCCGAAACCCGGUGAUCUAUCCAUGGGCAGGUUGAAGGUUGGGUAACACUAACUGGAGGACCGAACCGACUAAUGUUGAAAAAUUAGCGGAUGACUUGUGGAUGGGGGUGAAAGGCCAAUCAAACCGGGAGAUAGCUGGUUCUCCCCGAAAGCUAUUUAGGUAGCGCCUCGUGAAUUCAUCUUCGGGGGUAGAGCACUGUUUCGACUAGGGGGUCAUCCCGACUUACCAACUCGAUGCAAACUGCGAAUACCGAAGAAUGUUAUCACGGGAGACACACGGCGGGUGCUAACGUCCGUCGUGAAGAGGGAAACAACCCAGACCGCCAGCUAAGGUCCCAAAGUCAUGGUUAAGUGGGAAACGAAGUGGGAAGGCUCAGACAGCCAGGAUGUUGGCUUAGAAGCAGCCAUCAUUUAAAGAAAGCGUAAUAGCUCACUGGUCGAGUCGGCCCGCGCGGAAGAUGUAACGGGGCUAAACCAUGCACCGAAGCUGCGGCAGCGACACAUAGUGUUGUUGGGUAGGGGAGCGUUCUGUAAGCCUGCGAAGGUGUACUGUGAGGUAUGCUGGAGGUAUCAGAAGUGCGAAUGCUGACAUAAGUAACGAUAAUGCGGGUGAAAAACCCGCACGCCGGAAGACCAAGGGUUCCUGUCCAACGUUAAUCGGGGCAGGGUGAGUCGACCCCUAAGGCGAGGCUGAAAAGCGUAGUCGAUGGGAAACGGGUUAAUAUUCCCGUACUGGUGGUAACUGCGAUGGGGGAACGGAGAAGGCUAGGUUGUCCGGGCGACGGUCGUCCCGGUUCAAGCAGGUAGGCAGAGUGAUUAGGCAAAUCCGGUCACUUAAUGCUGAGAUGUGAUGACGAACCACCAAGGUGGUGAAGCAAUUGAUGCCCCGCUUCCAGGAAAAGCCUCUAAGCUUCAGGUUACCAACAAUCGUACCCCAAACCGACACAGGUGGUCAGGUAGAGAAUACUCAGGCGCUUGAGAGAACUCGGGUGAAGGAACUAGGCAAAAUGGUGCCGUAACUUCGGGAGAAGGCACGCUGGCGGUAGGUAAAGUCCCUCGCGGACGGCGCCCAAGCCAGUCGAAGAUACCAGCUGGCUGCAACUGUUUAUUAAAAACACAGCACUGUGCAAACACGAAAGUGGACGUAUACGGUGUGACGCCUGCCCGGUGCUGGAAGGUUAAUUGAUGGGGUUAGCCGUAAGGCGAAGCUCCUGAUCGAAGCCCCAGUAAACGGCGGCCGUAACUAUAACGGUCCUAAGGUAGCGAAAUUCCUUGUCGGGUAAGUUCCGACCUGCACGAAUGGCGUAAUGAUGGCCAGGCUGUCUCCACCCGAGACUCAGUGAAAUUGAACUCGCUGUGAAGAUGCAGUGUACCCGCGGCAAGACGGAAAGACCCCGUGAACCUUUACUAUAGCUUGACACUGAACAUUGAGCCUUGAUGUGUAGGAUAGGUGGGAGGCUUUGAAGUGUGGACGCCAGUCUGCAUGGAGCCAACCUUGAAAUACCACCCUUUAACGUUUGAUGUUCUAACCUAGGCCCAUAAACUGGGUCGGGGACCGUGUCUGGUGGGUAGUUUGACUGGGGCGGUCUCCUCCUAAAGAGUAACGGAGGAGCACGAAGGUUGGCUAAGCAUGGUCGGACAUCAUGCGGUUAGUGCAAAGGCAUAAGCCAGCUUGACUGCGAGAGUGACGGCUCGAGCAGGUACGAAAGUAGGUCUUAGUGAUCCGGUGGUUCUGAAUGGAAGGGCCAUCGCUCAACGGAUAAAAGGUACUCCGGGGAUAACAGGCUGAUACCGCCCAAGAGUUCAUAUCGACGGCGGUGUUUGGCACCUCGAUGUCGGCUCAUCACAUCCUGGGGCUGAAGUAGGUCCCAAGGGUAUGGCUGUUCGCCAUUUAAAGUGGUACGCGAGCUGGGUUUAGAACGUCGUGAGACAGUUCGGUCCCUAUCUGCCGUGGGCGUUGGAAGAUUGAGAGGGGUUGCUCCUAGUACGAGAGGACCGGAGUGAACGCACCACUGGUGUUCGGGUUGUCAUGCCAAUGGCAUUGCCCGGUAGCUAAGUGCGGAAGAGAUAACCGCUGAAAGCAUCUAAGCGGGAAACUUGCCUCGAGAUGAGUCUUCCCUGUCACUUUAAGUGACCUAAAGGAACGUUUAAGACUAAGACGUUGAUAGGCUGGGUGUGUAAGCGUAGCGAUACGUUGAGCUAACCAGUACUAAUGAACCGUGAGGCUUAACCUG